CAAUAGCGUAUAUUAAAGUUGUUGCGGUUAAAAAGCUCGUAGUUGGAUUUCUGUUGAGGAAGUCCGGUCCGCACUUUGUGCGUGAUCUGGUUCUGCCUCGGCAUCCUCGCGGGGAACGCGCUGCGCUUGAUUGCGUGGUGUGGUAUUCGCGACUUUUACUUUGAGGAAAUUAGAGUGUUCACGGCAGGCAUUCGCCUUGAAUACGUUAGCAUGGAAUAAUAAUAUAGGACCUUGGUUCUAUUUUGUUUGGUUUCUUAGAACUAAGGUAAUGAUUAAUAGGGAGUAAUUGGGGGUCGAUUUGUUAUUGACACGUCAGAGGUGAAAUUACUUGGAUUGUGUUACGACAAACUAACUGCG
rnacentral:rRNA from 1 species